CCCUUAGACGUUCUGGGCCGCACGCGCGCUACACUGACAAAGGCAACGAGCUACUCUUCACCGAAAGGUGUGGGUAAUCUUUUGAAACUUUGUCGUGCUGGGGAUAGAUCCUUGCAAUUUUUGAUCUUAAACGAGGAAUUCCUAGUAAGCGCAAGUCAUCAACUUGCGUUGAUUACGUCCCUGCCCUUUGUACACACCGCCCGUCGCACCAAUUGAUUGGAUGACUCGAUGAAAAAUCAGGACUGAGAUUUCUUUUGCUUCAUUGCAGAGGAAGUUUUGGGAAUCUUUUUAAAUCUCGUUAUCUAGAGAUUGGUGAAGUCGUAACA
rnacentral:rRNA from 1 species